GAUGAACGCUGGCGGCGUGCCUAAUACAUGCAAGUCGAGCGAACAGACGAGGAGCUUGCUCCUCUGACGUUAGCUGCGGACGGGUGAGUAACACGUGGCUAACCUACCUAUAAGACUGGGAUAACUUCGGGAAACCGGCGCUAAUACCGGAUAAUAUAUUGAACCGCAUGGUUCAAUAGUGAAAGACGGUUUUGCUGUCACUUAUAGAUGGAUCCGCGCCGCAUUAGCUAGUUGGUAAGGUAACGGCUUACCAAGGCAACGAUGCGUAGCCGACCUGAGAGGGUGAUCGGCCACACUGGAACUGAGACACGGUCCAGACUCCUACGGGAGGCAGCAGUAGGGAAUCUUCAGCAAUGGGCGAAAGCCUGACGGAGCAACGCCGCGUGCGUGAUGAAGGUCUUCGGAUCGUAAAACUCUGUUAGUAGGGAAGAACAAAUGUGUAAGUAACUAUGCACGUCUUGACGGUACCUAAUCAGAAAGCCACGGCUAACUACGUG
rnacentral:rRNA from 1 species